UGGGGAAUUUUCCGCAAUGGGCGAAAGCCUGACGGAGCAAUACCGCGUGAGGGAGGAAGGCGUAUUCGUUGUAAACCUCUUUUCUCAAGGAAGAAAAAAAUGACGGUACUUGAGGAAUCAGCAUCGGCUAACUCCGUGCCAGCAGCCGCGGUAAUACGGAGGAUGCAAGCGUUAUCCGGAAUCAUUGGGCGUAAAGCGUCCGCAGGUGGCACAUCAAGUCUGCCGUUAAAGCCUGGAGCUUAACUCCAUCAAGGCGGUGGAAACUGAAGAGCUAGAGUACGGUAGGGGUAGAGGGAAUUUCCAGUGUAGCGGUGAAAUGCGUAGAGAUUGGAAAGAACACCAGUGGCGAAAGCGCUCUACUGGGCCUGUACUGACACUGAGGGACGAAAGCUAGGGGAGC
rnacentral:rRNA from 1 species